rnacentral:tRNA from 1 species
GGCCCGGUGGUGUAGCGGCCAAACAUACCUCCCUGUCACGGAGGAGAUCGGGGGUUCGAAUCCCCCCCGGGUCGCCA